AACGAACGCUGGCGGCAGGCCUAACGCAUGCAAGUCGAACGCCCGUAGCAAUACGGGAGUGGCAGACGGGUGAGUAACGGGUGGGAACGUACCCUUUGGUUCGGAACAACUCCGGGAAACUGGAGCUAAUACCGGAUGAGCCCUACGGGGGAAAGAUUUAUCGCCGAAGGAUCGGCCCGCGUCGGAUUAGCUUGUUGGUGAGGUAACGGCUCACCAAGGCGACGAUCCGUAGCUGGUCUGAGAGGAUGAUCAGUCACACUGGGACUGAGACACGGCCCAGACUCCUACGGGAGGCAGCAGUGGGGAAUAUUGGACAAUGGGCGCAAGCCUGAUCCAGCCAUGCCGCGUGAGUGAUGAAGGCCUUAGGGUUGUAAAGCUCUUUCGCCAGGGACGAUAAUGACGGUACCUGGAUAAGAAGCCCCGGCUAACUUCGUGCCAGCAGCCGCGGUAAUACGAAGGGGGCUAGCGUUGUUCGGAAUCACUGGGCGUAAAGCGCAUGCAGGCGG
rnacentral:rRNA from 1 species